rnacentral:lncRNA from 1 species
UUUCUUCAUAGGGUUUUGGGAAGACUGAGGCAAUCGUUGCUGAAGUCAGUGUUGUAAUGGUGAAUCGGGAUUUUUAAUGAAGUGGGUUUGAUUACUCUUGAUUGUUUUGUGAAAUCGAGUUACGUCUGUGAUGAAGAAUUAAAAGGGUGUCUAUAGGAUUGAGUAUGCGGAGUGAAUGAAAAUUGUUGGGUUAAUCUAAGGAGA